UGCAUGUUCUAAAUCCAAACAAUGAGUCUCCACGAAAAAUGCUUAAUCUUACUUAUUGCAUGGGCUACAAAGACACAUAUAUACACAUCAAGGAAUAAGGAAUUGGCACUAAAACAAUGUCAAAAACAGCUGUGAAAGUUCAUUGGCAUUGCAAAGUCUUUUCUACGAGUUGUUAUCUGAAUGUCGAUAGCGGAAGAAAUGACGCCAAGCACUGCUGGUCAAGCCUUUCGCUGCAAAGGUAUUCGACAAAAUGCCCCAGUGAGUUUUUUUUUUUUUCCCUCUGCAUUUGUAUUUGCAGGGGUUUGUUUGUUUUCUUUUGUAUUGAUCAAAAGUGAAUUAGGUUUUCUUGAAUAUAUAUGUUGAUACUGAGUUAUGUGCUUUCUCCACUGUGCAGCUGCUGUGGCAUGGGAAGCAGGGAACACGUUGGUGAUAGAAGAAGUGGAGGUGUGACCUCCACGGGCCAAUGUAGUUCCUUUGAAGAUCCUCUAUAUACCUCACUUUGCCACACUGAUUUCUAUUUCUGGGAAGCCAAGGCAACAAGAAUUACACAUAUAUAGCUCAAAUCCAGAAAUCAACACCAUUGCUACCUCUUCAAAAUUGAUUCAUAGAUAUUGCACCAAAUAAAAACUGGGCUCCUCAGUGCUUACUCUGCAGGGACAAUUGGCUUUGUUCCCUAGAAUCCAUGGUCAUGAGGCAAGAGGGACUGUGGAAGUUUGUUUGGUUGUGACGAAUCUGAAUAUGUUGGCUGCGUUGACAAGAUCAACCCGAUGGUGUCCCUGGACAAAUUCUGUGUCCUGACUGUGAAAUUUCCGCAGAUACAGCUAGAACGAGCAUUCUAAUAGUCUUAAAACUUCAUCAUUAGAGUAGAUUUUCCUUGACCAUUGAAUAUUUGGAUAGGUCUUAGUGCCACUCUGAAUGUGGCAAAACCUCCAAAAUGGCUCAGCAUGGUGAUCCUUGGAUUGGAAGCUAUAGGCCUCGCAGUAAGAGAAAAACUUACUAAUGAUUGAAUUACAGAAGCAUUUGAAUGUACCGGAUAUAUCGAUGCCACGAUUUCUACAUUUCAAUGUGCAUUUUAUGAGGUAUGUUAUACUACUUUGACCUCCCUCCUGUCAACAGCUUUUUAAUAGUUUCACAUAUUAUAAUUCGUACUCUUAUUUAGUUUUAUCUAUUAACAUUUAUUUAGAUAUAAUUCUAAGAGGUCAUUUAAUCAUAUUGGCUAAUAUCAAUGCUGAUAAAGUCAGAAAAUAUUGGUAUGUCCGGGUUGAUGUAUUGCUCUUCUUGUUUGUGUACCUCACAACGAUGCUGUCUUUGGGACCCAUCCCAUGAAUCUACAAUUCACAAGGAUGUCCCAUUGUUGAAAUGCCAGAAUAUGUCUACCGUUAAAAUAUGCUUCUGGAGUUACACAUACAGCUUGUAGUCAAGUAGAUAAAAACAGAACCACUGUUUUAAACUGAUUACAUACUCAUGAAAGAAUUACAUGGAUUAGUUGAAGGGGAUUUUCCUACAAUGAUAUUUCUUAAGAAACACCAUUCAAGUGGGGCAGUGGAAAACUACAUGUUUGGUGAGAAUAGUGCACAAACAGAUUGCAUUUAGAUGUGCACAUGUGGCAGGGAAGUGUGUUACUUUAGUUUACAGAUUGUCCUAAUCCUUUUCUCUUGUAAAAUCAUUGGACACAGACAAGCUCUUGUGGCUACAUCUUCUUCUAUCCCUUUGUCUGUAACCCAUAGGUUUCGUUCGGUUCAUUAAACUGAACUGUGUCGGUUUAUAUAUAUUCUAGGGUUUGUCCAAUCCCCCCCAGUGCUGCGCUAGCAGAUGUUGCUUGUCAGCAAAAACUUCAGCUUGUGUUGUGUCUUAUUUGGUUCAUUAAUUUUGAUUCCAUAUGCCUUACAUGGUCCAAGUUGCUGCAAAGGCAAUAGUAACUCACAAUAUUGGAUUUUGCUUCUGGUGGAUAUGGCUUCAAUUAGGGCUAUCACUGUAAAUGUAGAAGAGACUCAGUUUUGUUCAUAACUUCAUAUGCAUCACAUGCUAGACGGAAUCCAUUUUUGUACAAAUCAAUAAUGGACAAAUCUGAGUCAUGUUUUGUUUUCUAGAGUAUAAAUAUGUGCAGUUUCAAACAAGUAAAAUACUGUCUUAUAUGGUAAAAUUAAUCGGAAAGCUCUAGUGUUUUGACAUUAGCUUGUCAAACUUUAAGACCAUUCUAGUCCUCAAAGAGCUGCCCAACUCAUCUUUUUUACAGGACCAUCUAUAUGUAUAUAUAUAUAUAUAUAUGCUUAUCUCUUUCUGUAUAGUCCUCCACAUAUACAUUAGUGACACUAGCUGCUGCAGAACACUGAGGUCCCAAAGCUUCAGUAGUUGCAGAAAAUCGCGAUUGUUUGCUUGCUGCAAUGGACAUCAUCAGAAACUGGUGCAAUUCAGGGAGUGAAACCAUUCAGUUGGGCAAAAGCGGUUCAGUGAACUCAACAUCCAGCAGCAGAUCAAAAUGGAAAUUACUGUGGAACAAGUUAAUCAAGAAGAAAAAGGAGAGGAUACUUGAGGCUUCUAGAUCGGUGAAAGUACCUUACGACGAAGACACGUAUUCGCAGAAUUUCGAUGGAGGGGUAACAUGGGAUGAGCCUGAUGGAUUCUUUAGAUCAUUCUCUGUAAGGUAUGCUGAUUCUUCUAAUAAAAGGUGUCCCUGAGGAAGGAAGAUGUGGUGUAACUGUGUACAGACAAAGUAAAUUAUUGGAGAAUGCUAGCUUUUUGUCCAUAUUUGUUGUUCUAGAUAUGAUUUGAUUGUGUUAAUAGUGCAAUGAAAGGUAAUAGAAA